GUGUCAUUUGAAAGGAGAGCAGGUUAGCACUCCCCUUGACAAGGAUGGAACACACAAUCUGAGAUCAGCAGGCACUCAGAGAGAAGCUGAUCUCGGCCAUUUUUU
rfam:Anopheles atroparvus strain EBRO unplaced genomic scaffold supercont1.6, whole genome shotgun sequence.